CGAGGGAUCCUAGCGUUGUUCGGAAUCAUUGGGCGUAAAGCGUGUGUAGGUGGCUAUUCAAGUCAGUUGUGAAAGCCCCGGGCUUAACCCGGGAAGUGCUUCUGAUACUGUUUAGCUUGAGUACUGGAGAGGAUAGUAGAAUUCCUGGUGUAGUGGUGAAAUACGUAGAUAUCAGGAGGAAUACCGGUGGCGAAGGCGGCUAUCUGGCCAUGUACUGACGCUGAGACACGAAAGCGUGGGGAGCAAACAGGAUUAGAUACCCUGGUAGUCCACGCCGUAAACGAUGGAUACUUGGUGUUGGAGGUAUUGACCCCUUCAGUGCCGAAGCUAACGCGUUAAGUAUCCCGCCUGGGGAGUACGGUCGCAAGAUUA
rnacentral:rRNA from 1 species